rnacentral:rRNA from 1 species
UACGUAGGGUGCAAGCGUUAAUCGGAAUUACUGGGCGUAAAGCGUGCGCAGGCGGUUGUGCAAGACAGGUGUGAAAUCCCCGGGCUUAACCUGGGAACUGCACUUGUGACUGCACAGCUGGAGUACGGCAGAGGGGGAUGGAAUUCCGCGUGUAGCAGUGAAAUGCGUAGAUAUGCGGAGGAACACCGAUGGCGAAGGCAGCCCCCUGGGAUGUGACUGACGCUCAUGUACGAAAGCGUGGGGAGCAAACAGG